GGAGAACUUGGCUUUCGCUGAACAUUGCAGAGAAGACAAAUCUGCUACUCCUGGACAAUAUUCACCAACUAAUCAGAAAAUUUCUUCACUCCAGGUGCACACUGAAGCAUGACUGCACAGUGUAUCAAAUUGCAAAUGUGUUCUGGGAACCAAGUGCAAAACUCAGUGCUUACCACUGUGAAAGAAGAGAGAUGAGCACAGAGGAUUUAUCAACACACACAAACUGACAUCACGUUUCCAUCCAGAAAGAGACCAAGUUCCCAAUUCUUUCUGCUUC
ensembl:lncRNA